ACUCCUACGGGAGGCAGCAGUGGGGAAUAUUGGACAAUGGGCGCAAGCCUGAUGCAGCGACGCCGCGUGGGGAUGACGGCCUUCGGGUUGUAAACCUCUUUCACCAGGGACGAAGCGCAAGUGACGGUACCUGGAGAAGAAGCACCGGCCAACUACGUGCCAGCAGCCGCGGUAAUACGUAGGGUGCGAGCGUUGUCCGGAAUUACUGGGCGUAAAGAGCUCGUAGGUGGUUUGUCGCGUUGUCCGUGAAAUCCCACGGCUUAACUGUGGGCGUGCGGGCGAUACGGGCAGACUGGAGUACUGCAGGGGAGACUGGAAUUCCUGGUGUAGCGGUGGAAUGCGCAGAUAUCAGGAGGAACACCGGUGGCGAAGGCGGGUCUCUGGGCAGUAACUGACGCUGAGGAGCGAAAGCGUGGGGAGCGAACAGGAUUAGAUACCCUGGUAGCGAGUAG
rnacentral:rRNA from 1 species